rnacentral:rRNA from 1 species
AUACGGAGGGUGCAAGCGUUAAUCGGAAUUACUGGGCGUAAAGCGUACGUAGGCGGUCCGUUAAGUUAGAUGUGAAAGCCCCGGGCUUAACCUGGGAACUGCAUUUAAAACUGGCGGACUCGAGUUGAGUAGAGGGGAGUGGAAUUUCAGGUGUAGCGGUGAAAUGCGUAGAGAUCUGAAGGAACACCAGUGGCGAAGGCGACUCCCUGGACUCGAACUGACGCUGAGGUACGAAAGCGUGAGUAGCAAACGGGAUUAGAAACCCUUGUAGUCC